rnacentral:rRNA from 1 species
GACGAACGCUGGCGGCGUGCCUAAUACAUGCAAGUAGAACGCACAGUUUAUACCGUAGCUUGCUACACCAUAGACUGUGAGUUGCGAACGGGUGAGUAACGCGUAGGUAACCUGCCUGGUAGCGGGGGAUAACUAUUGGAAACGAUAGCUAAUACCGCAUAAUAUUGAUUAUUGCAUGAUAAUUGAUUGAAAGAUGCUAUUGCAUCACUACCAGAUGGACCUGCGUUGUAUUAGCUAGUAGGUGAGGUAACGGCUCACCUAGGCGACGAUACAUAGCCGACCUGAGAGGGUGAUCGGCCACACUGGGACUGAGACACGGCCCAGACUCCUACGGGAGGCAGCAGUAGGGAAUCUUCGGCAAGGGACGAAAGUCUGACCGAGCAACGCCGCGGGAGUGAAGAAGGUUUUCGGAUCGUAAAGCUCUGUUGUAAGAGAAGAACGGGUGUGAGAGUGGAAAGUUCACACUGUGACGGUAUCUUACCAGAAAGGGACGGCUAACUACGUG